CCUCCACCCUGCAGUGGGACAGAGACAGAGACUGAUCGUCUAUCAAACACACAAAACCAAAGUUCUUGAAUGAAUGUUUCUGGAGAUAACUGGAGAAAAAUGAGCAGAAAUGUUGAAGUUGGAUGAUCCCAGACUUUUGGCUCCUGGAUUAGAGUUUCUGGUUAUUCUGGGGCUUCAGUGAAGGUCAGUUCAGAAUAGACGCUGUAUUUUAAGGUUUGUAACACUAUUUAUUUUGGUCGAAUUACGUAAUGAUUUUAAACACAGACGCUUUCAGCAAACUCCAGUCUCUCUGGUAACGUUCUCACCAAACAGUUUCUUCACAUUUUUAAAGAUUUGAUCUUCAAGUUUUACAGACAAAUAUGACGACAAAUGACUCAAAUGUGUUCAAAAGUGAAGCAUCUGCAGUGUAGUUGGUUGUUGGGUGAAGACAUUUAUUGAAAUGACAACAGAAACUUCCCGAUGACCCUGUUCUGAAGUUAGCAUCCUUUGUUCUGAAAACAUGAACUCAAACGGAUCCAAACGAGUUUGAACGGCAGCUACAGGUAACAUCCUCACCUGUAAUCUCUGUGUUAAUCUCUCUGUGAGCUCCCAACAGACCCUUCGUCCUUCAUCCACCGACAUUUCUGGAUCCUCAGUCAAAGCUAGAAAAUCUAUGGGGAAAGGUAACCGAACUCAACAAACAGGAAAGGGAUAAGAAUGAAAGUCAUGAAGACGUGGAAAGAGAGUUCUGUAGAAACUAAACCACAGUCAGAACCAUUUCUGCCGGAUAAAUCCUCAGAGAUUUAAAUAAACAACGUGAGCUGUGAUUCAGAAAUCUGUGGUUGGAGGUUUGAUGAUUCACAAUGAGGACACGCCUGAAGAAACGUGGUUGAGAUGUCAGAAAAAAGUAGUUUUUUGAGCCAAAAUAUCUGCUUACAAAACACCAAACAGCUCAGAGACACGCCUCCAAACUUCUGGACCAUGAGACUAAGAUGGAACCACAAACAAAAACAUCUGGAUUGGAGUCGACAAGAUGAGAACACUGAAACACGGAGGUGAAUCAUUAUGAUCUUAAGGGUUAAACUGCUUUAAUCCAGGGCUCUGCAACCUGAGGAUGUUCGGCUUUAAAGAAAAAGUGAAAACAAUUUGAAUAAAUGAUGAAUUCGAA